AUUAGACGAAUCAUCUGGAAAGAUGAAUCAAAGAAGGUAAUAAUCCUGUAGUCGAAAAUGUUGUCUCUCUUGAGUGGAUCCUGAGUACGACGGAGCACGUGAAAUUCCGUCGGAAUCUGGGAGGACCAUCUCCUAAGGCUAAAUACUCUCUAGUGACCGAUAGUGAACCAGUACCGUGAGGGAAAGGUGAAAAGCACCCCGGAAGGGGAGUGAAAUAGAACCUGAAACCGUGUGCUUACAAGUAGUCAGAGCCCGUUAAUGGGUGAUGGCGUGCCUUUUGUAGAAUGAACCGGCGAGUUACGAUUUGAUGCAAGGUUAAGCAGUAAAUGUGGAGCCGUAGCGAAAGCGAGUCUGAAUAGGGCGUUUAGUAUUUGGUCGUAGACCCGAAACCAGGUGAUCUACCCUUGGUCAGGUUGAAGUUCAGGUAACACUGAAUGGAGGACCGAACCGACUUACGUUGAAAAGUGAGCGGAUGAACUGAGGGUAGCGGAGAAAUUCCAAUCGAACCUGGAGAUAGCUGGUUCUCUCCGAAAUAGCUUUAGGGCUAGCCUCAAGUGAUGAUUAUUGGAGGUAGAGCACUGUUUGGACGAGGGGCCCCUCUCGGGUUACCGAAUUCAGACAAACUCCGAAUGCCAAUUAAUUUAACUUGGGAGUCAGAACAUGGGUGAUAAGGUCCGUGUUCGAAAGGGAAACAGCCCAGACCACCAGCUAAGGUCCCAAAAUAUAUGUUAAGUGGAAAAGGAUGUGGCGUUGCCCAGACAACUAGGAUGUUGGCUUAGAAGCAGCCAUCAUUUAAAGAGUGCGUAAUAGCUCACUAGUCGAGUGACACUGCGCCGAAAAUGUACCGGGGCUAAACAUAUUACCGAAGCUGUGGAUUGUCCUUUGGACAAUGGUAGGAGAGCGUUCUAAGGGCGUUGA
rnacentral:rRNA from 1 species